CAGGUGUUUCAUCACAGCGACGCAGAGCUGACUACCAAUCCUCCACACUGAAAAGGAAACAUUUGGAGCAGAGUACCUAAUGGACAGGCUUUCGAACGUCUCCAACACAAAGAAAUGUACCUGAGACUACAAAUAUGCCAGUUCCUCUGAUCUGAUCAUUACAUAUUGUAUCCAGAAAAUACCCUGCAGUUGUUCAGUCCUUCAAAACACCUCGUUAGAUAUAGUCAAGAAUGCUCUUAACAUCUCUAUCCUCACCUCAAAGCAAUGGCUCUGACCUUGAACCAGAGUGCAAGUCGGCGUCAUGGAGGCCAGGACCCAAGCACGUGACUCCUACAACAGAAUCCCAGAUGCCAAGACCCACAGAGAGAUCAAAGAGAACCUGCCAUCCUCCUCGGAAUGGACUGAAUGUUUACACCCCACCCCCACACUCAUGUGAUGAAAUCUAAGCCCCAAUAAGAUGGUGUGAAGAAGUGGGAUUUGGAAGACAGCCGGGUCAUGAGGGUAGAGACCCCAGGAUUGGGACCAUGACCUUAGGAGAAGAGCCCAGAGACGCCGAUCAGCCUCUUCCCACUGUGUGUGCCUCCAGGAGAAGUCAGCAGCCUGCAACCUGGAAGAGGCCUUCCCUAAGCACCCAACCCUGCUGGCACCCUGAUGGACACUUCCAAGCUCCAGGAACUGUCAGAAAUAAAGGUCUGCUGUUCAAGGCACUGCACCUAAGGAGCUGUGCUGCAGCAGGACAGGCCUCCUGCAGGACAGACAUCUCUGCAUGUGGGGAAAAUAUCAUUUGCAGGCUUUUUUUUUUUUUUUUUUUUUUUUUUUUUACUUUCAUCCAGUCGGCUACUGGCAUUAUGGAUUUCGGAUGAUCUGGCCAUAGAAGGUAGCUCAGUCAAUAGGAGAUUGUGCAAGGUGAGGAAUCCAGUGACUUGGAUGGCUCUCUGCCCAGGCCCACUGCACUGAACCAGCCCGGAGACACUGUGUGGCUUGCUCUCCUGACACCGACAAGCACGACAAACAAGUUUUGAGAGCUGUCAAUGUCUUCAAUCAGAGGCCUCCACUACUAAAACCUCAGACUACAAGCGACUGAACCAAUCCAUCUAGAAGGUUGUCUUUUUUUUCCAGUUACAAAACAUUUCAUCAAUUUAUCUCUUUAGGCCCCCUUUUAAAUUUCAGUUUUCUCUAGUUAAUUUACAACCCAUUUUUAAUAUAUGUCCAGUCUAUUAUUCCCAUGAGACUCAAGUUUCUCAACAAUAUUUUCCAACAAUGAAUGAAGUAAAAGGUAACAUAAUGCAGGCCAGGUAUUUGGCACAGCAGUUAAGCCAUCACCUGGGGGGUCAUCGCUGAGACACAGCAGGUAAAGCUGCCAACUACAACACCGGCAUCCUAUAUGGGUGCUAGUUCAUAUCCCAGCUGUUCCAUUUCCAAUACAGCUUCCUGCUAAUACGCCUAGGAAAGCAGAGGAGACAGCCCAAGUGUUUGGGCCCCUGUCACCCAAAUGACAGCUCCUGGCUUUGGCCUGGUCUAGCCCCAGCUGUUGUGGGCAUUUGGAGGGUGAAGCAAUGGAUGAAAGAUAUCUAUCCCUUCCCCCCCCCCCACAAAUGAAAUGUAGAUCGAUUGAUAGAUAAAUUUAAGAGAUAAGGCAACACUUUUCUCAACUGCAUAAAAUUGUCAAUGCCACAACAUUUUACUUAUUUUCAAUAUUGAAAGUCUAAAAACUUUACAAGGGCCAUUCAUUUUAUGACAAGAUAGGUGGAGGAGUGAAUUUUUAAAAUAUUUAUGGAAUGCCAGGCAUGGUGCUGGGUACUGGGGAUACUUGGAUUCACGGGGACACCUGGAUUAAUAAAAUCAACCAGGAUCUAGUGAUCCACGCCCGACAUCAAUACAAUUUCCCCACCAGGAGCAGUAAAUGUAAUAUGUCAGAACUAUCAUGGGUAGGGACUGCUGAGGACAACGCACAAGUAGAAAUGAGGAGACAAUGUUUUUGUCCUACUCUGACUCAGUUACUCUCUUUACUGUGCAAGCAGGAAAUCACAUAUUCUCCACUGUGAUGAGGAAGGAUAGGCCAACGAACCUCAGGGGCCUUGGGCAGAAACUGUCAGUGUUCAGACAAAUCACACCCACUCUACUGUAGACCCACAUGAAGCAGAAAAAAAGUUUCCUGAAAUGUGACCUGCAAUGCUUGCUAACAGUGCUCUGGAGCUUGACAGAUAUAAACGUGGCCAAUUCACCUAACGGCUGCCAAAAUAAUAUAUCCUCAGACUCUCAGCUCAACAACGGAAACCGUGAAGGUGGGGCGGUGAGCACUGAAAAUCCCAGAUGUCCUUUAGGCUGUGACACUCGGUCCUAUGAAAAAGUCAGCACACCUGAUUUCGCCACGACCAACUUUCCAUGACAGGAAUCCUAAUAUCUGAAAAUCAGGCUCAGAAACCAUGCUGGUUGCACAGCAUCUGAGCCACGCUGAUUUUCAGAGUGACCAGAUCCACAGGCAGCCACUCCUUAGGUCUGAGAACCAGUUCCGGAACACAAGGCCAUUGGGGAUGCCUUGUUAGGCCAGUGGUAGGACGUGGUAUCAGAGGUGAGGGAACCAAGCAGUGAGGAUGCUGAAAACUACCACUGGUGGAUGGAGUCGGGCAGCAGGUGCAGUGGGCUGAGUGCCCUAUUUCUCCAUCAGAAGAAGGUCAAGGUGGACACCUGGCUCCACACAGGGCAGGAAGUGCAGGCAGUCUGAUUUCACAGCACAGAGGGCAAACCCUCCUGUUCUCACGUCCUCUCCCUGCCUCUCUUCCCAGCUCACUCUGUACUAGGCUUACUGGCCUCCUUACUCUUCAAGGACAUGCUGCACAAGCUUCUAACUCAGGGCCCUUGCACUUGCUGUUUUCUGGGUCUGCAAUGCUCUUUCCUUAGAUCUGCUCAAGACUCCCUUUCUCACCUCCUUCAAGUCUUCACUGACAUGUCACCUUCUGGGACAAUCGUUAGCCUAAGAGUUCAGGCUCCCAAAUCCCAUUAUCAAAGUACCUGGGUUCAAAUCCCAGCUCUGACCCUGACUCCAGCAUCCUGCUAGUGCACAACCCAGGAGGCAGCAGGUGAUGGCUAAAGUACCUGGAUCCCUGCCACCCACAUGGGAGACCCAGAUUGAGUUCCCGGCUUCUGGCUUCAGUUUGGCCCAGCCCUGGCCAUUGUGGGCAUUUGGGGAGUGAACCAGUGAAGAGAAGGUCUCUCCCUGACUCUAACUCACUGGCUUGCAAACAAUUAAAAUUAAUUCAUAAAAAGUAAAACAAAAUGCCAUCUUCCUACGAGACCUACUGUAUUGGUUUUCAACUACAGCCAUGAUGAAUUAGCAUAAACUUAUUGGCCUGGUAUGUAUAGGAUGAAUUCCCAUACACUUCACACAGCGAAAAGCAGUGCAAGUUCAUUAUCUCAUAACUCUGUAGGUUGGAGGGCCUCGGUGGGUCCCAGCAAACUGCAGUGAGGGAACGGCAGUCUGCAUUUCUUUCUGAAGGCCACAGGGGGCGAUCCCUCACUUCCUCAUUCUGGCCAUUGGCUGAACUCCAGCCUUGGGGUUGUAGGACGGAGGUCUGUUUCUGGGCCUCCCACCUCCAUCUGCAAGCCAGCAAUGACAGCUUGAGUUGUCCUAGCACUCCAAAGCUCCCCCUCUCCUCCUUCCGUCUCUUCUCACUGACCCAGGAAAGGCUCUCCACUUUUGAAGGACUCCUGGAUUAGCUGGGCACACCUGGAUAAUCUGAGAUCAUCUCCCCAUUUCCCAUCUUGCAAUUUUUCUUUCCUUUAAGGGAAACAUAUUCACAGGGCCACAGAUUAGGGUGCGGGUAGGGAGCAAGGAGAGAGCACUGAACGUAUUAAAAAUAAUGACAACUUAGUAGAGUCACCCAGCAAGAGAAUCACUUUGGUUAAAAAUACCACUCAGGAUUAUCCACUCUCUCCAGUGGUCUGAGUUUGCCCCCAGUUGCAUGCAACAUGUGACUUGUGGUGCUGGCUGUGUCAGCAAUGAUCUUUCCCAUGCACAGGGCCAUUUCUGAGGAAAAUUCUCCUGUCCUCAACAAGUGAUGAGUGGGGCUGCCAUGGUGUACUCCAGCGAGCCUUUCUCUUGGUCACAGCUGAUAAUAGUAGAAAGGGAACUUUAUUCAAGGGCUGUCAAUCCAGUAAUUCUUUGACUAGAGAACACAAGAUAUAACAGUAGGCAGGGGCCGAUGUUGUGGCAUCACAAUUAAGCCACCACCUGGGACACUACCAUCUCGUAUGAGCAGCUGGGUAGAGUCCCAGCUGCUCCACUUCUGACCCAGCUCUCUGCUAUGGCCUGGGAAAGCAGUGGAAGAUCGCCCAACUCCUUGGGCCCCUGCACCUGCGUGGGAAGACCUGGAGGAAGCUCCUGGAUCCUGGCUUUGGAACAGCACAGCUUGGGCCAUUGGAGCCAAUUAGGGAGUGAACCAGCAGAUGGAAGACCUACCCCAAGGUACUUAGAGGGGCCAGCACCAUGGCAUAGCUGGUAAAGCAGGGCCAGCAUCCCAUAUGGGCACCAGUUCGAGUCCUGGCUGCUCCAAUUCCAAUCCAGCUCUCUGCUAUGGCCUGGGAAAGCAGUAGAAGAUGGCCCAAGUCCUUGGACCCCUACACCCAUGUGGUAGACCCAGAAAAUGCUCCUGGCGUCGGAUGGGUGCAGCUCUUGUCAUUGUGGCCAUCUGGGGAAUGAACUGGUAGAUGGAAGACCUCCCCUACCCCUCCUGCCUCUGCCUCUCUGUAACUCUGCCUUCAAAUAACAAAUAAAUAUUUUAUUUAAAAAAAAAGGUACUUAGAGAAUGGUAUAUUAAAGACACCCAUUAGUUGUUAAUUUGAGUUAUCCAUGUGAGAAAAUCACGAGGGACAAGAGCCCUUCUCAUCACUUAACUUCACUGGGUGCCUGGCAGCCCACGGCUGUCACCGGAUCCCUUGAGUAAGGUGGGCUCCACAAGGCUUCUACACUGCAAUCCUACUUCUUUUUUUCUUUCAUACCCUUAACCUUUUGAAAUGAGUCUUCAAGUCCUGUCCAUACUCUAGAGGAUGUUUUAUUUACUCUUUAUUUCAGAAAAAAUUUUGAAUUUAUAGAGCAAAUCUAAAAUAGCAUCAAAGACUCCCAAAUACAGUUCACCCAGGUUCACCACAGAUAGCAAGUUCCAUAUAUGCUCUGUCAACAUCCCUCUUGUUCCCUAUCCAUCUACAUGUUACUGCUAUUUAUACUAGUAGAUUCACUGGACCGUUGGAGAAUAAGUUGCAGACAUCAUAACCUUUUAUCCAAAGUACUUCAUCCUGUAUAUCCUAGGAAUACUUUCAUCACCACAGUGCGAUGGUCAAUUUCAGGACACUUAACUUUAAUAUAAUACUAUUAUCAACUACAAGCACAUAGCCCGACACUUGCACUUGUCUGUGAUGGGGAAUCUCUUGCCUUACCUGUA